ACGCUCGACACCUACGGGAGCAGCAGUGGGGAAUAUUGCACAAUGGGGGAAACCCUGAUGCAGCGACGCCGCGUGAAGGAAGAAGUAUUUCGGUAUGUAAACUUCUAUCAGCAGGGAAGAAAAUGACGGUACCUGAGUAAGAAGCACCGGCUAAAUACGUGCCAGCAGCCGCGGUAAUCUGAGCGGGCUGGCAAGGC
rnacentral:rRNA from 1 species